rnacentral:rRNA from 1 species
CUGUGACUCCUACGGGAGGCAGCAGUGGGGAAUAUUGCACAAUGGGGGAAACCCUGAUGCAGCCAUGCCGCGUGUGUGAAGAAGGCCUUCGGGUUGUAAAGCACUUUCAGUAGGGAGGAAGGUAGUGUAGUUAACACCUGCACUAUUUGACGUUACCUACAGAAGAAGCACCGGCUAACUCCGUGCCAGCAGCCGCGGUAAUACGGAGGGUGCGAGCGUUAAUCGGAAUUACUGGGCGUAAAGCGCAUGCAGGCGGCCUGUUAAGUCAGAUGUGAAAGCCCCGGGGCUUAACCUCGGAAUUGCAUUUGAAACUGGCAGGCUAGAGUCUUGUAGAGGGGGUAGAAUUUCAGGUGUAGCGGUGAAAUGCGUAGAGAUCUGAAGGAAUACCAGUGGCGAAGGCGGCCCCCUGGACAAAGACUGACGCUCAGAUGCGAAAGCGUGGGGAGCAAACAGGAUUAGAUACCCUGGUAA